GGUCGUCACCCCUCCCCUCCGCCGGAAAUCAAGGCCAAAGGAGAUGUCAUGGCUAUGGGCUGAAGCUUUGAGAAAAAAAGAAUGAAAAAUGAAAUGACAUCUACUGAUUAAAAUCAUGAGACCUCAUGCAUACGUGUAUACGCAUAGUUAUUAUAUUUAAAAGUUAUGAUUUUGGUAAUCAUCAUCAUGGGUAAAGUUUCAGUAGUGGUUUACAUGACACCAAGAGUUAAGAUUAAAGAGAAAACGAGUGAGUUGUACACUUAUAGAAUGGUAUUACUUUGGUUUAAGGACUUGUGAAUGAUCUAUAUGUUUUCUUUGUAAGAAGGAUAACAAGGUGGAGUCGAGGUCCAGCAAGGGUGCAACACUGAAUGAGCUGGUUGAGCUCAAAGGUUGUUCUUCCAGCCUAUUUUUCGAGUGCAGAAAACAUAAAGAUCUUUAUCUAUGUAUGGCAAAGUGCCCUAGUGGGCCAUCUGUGAAGUUUUUAGUUAAUGCCAUGCAUACAAUGGAAGAAUUGAAGCUUACAGGGAACCAUUUGAAAGGUUCCCGUCCAAUUUUGACAUUUUCAUCAAAUUUUGAUAAAGAUGUCCACUAGAAACUUCUG